GACGAACGCUGGCGGCGUGCUUAACACAUGCAAGUCGAACGGAAAGGCCCUGCUUUUGUGGGGUGCUCGAGUGGCGAACGGGUGAGUAACACGUGAGUAACCUGCCCUUGACUUUGGGAUAACUUCAGGAAACUGGGGCUAAUACCGGAUAGGAGCUCCUGCUGCAUGGUGGGGGUUGGAAAGUUUCGGCGGUAGGGGAUGGACUCGCGGCUUAUCAGCUUGUUGGUGGGGUAGUGGCUUACCAAGGCUUUGACGGGUAGCCGGCCUGAGAGGGUGACCGGCCACAUUGGGACUGAGAUACGGCCCAGACUCCUACGGGAGGCAGCAGUGGGGAAUAUUGCACAAUGGGCGGAAGCCUGACGCAGCAGCGCCGCGUGCGGGAUGACGGCCUUCGGGUUGUAAACCGCUUUCGCCUGUGACGAAGCGGGAGUGACGGUAAUGGGUAAAGAAGCACCGGCUAACUACGUG
rnacentral:rRNA from 1 species